rnacentral:lncRNA from 1 species
GGGUCUGAGUCAUGUCUUAGCGAUGUGACCACAGGCAUCUGACUCAGCGUGGAGAUUCUUCAGCUCCUGGUGGCAAGGCGAGAGUCGCAAAGGCACCGGGCUCAGAGGUGAAGAGGGCAGGACUGUCUCCUCUCAUCUCUUUGCUGCAGAUGAGGUGCUACAAAUAUUUGUGGGUCUGGUUCUCUGCUAGCCGGAAUUGUGUCCCAGCCCUCAGUUUAUCAUUGGCGGAGCCACACGCACAGACGUCUGUCAGGGUGCUUUAGGUGACUGCUGGCUGCUGGCGGCCAUCGCCUCCCUCACCUUGAACGAAGAGCUGCUUUACCGCGUGGUGCCCAGGGACCAGAACUUCCAGGAGAACUACGC